UACGUAGGGUGCGAGCGUUGUCCGGAAUUAUUGGGCGUAAAGAGCUCGUAGGCGGUCUGUCGCGUCGGUCGUGAAAACUUGGGGCUUAACCCUGAGCUUGCGGUCGAUACGGGCAUGACUGGAGUUCGGCAGGGGAGACUGGAAUUCCUGGUGUAGCGGUGAAAUGCGCAGAUAUCGAGAGGAACACCUGCGGCGAAGGCGGGUAGCUGGGCCGACACUGACGCUGAGGCGCGAAAGCCAGGGGAGCGAACGGG
rnacentral:rRNA from 1 species